rnacentral:rRNA from 1 species
GACGAACGCUGGCGGCGUGCUUAACACAUGCAAGUCGAACGGAAAGACCCUGCUUUUGUGGGGUGCUCGAGUGGCGAACGGGUGAGUAACACGUGAGUAACCUGCCCUUGACUUUGGGAUAACUUCAGGAAACUGGGUCUAAUACCGGAUAGUAGCUCCUGCUGCAUGGUUGGGGUUGGAAAGUUUCGGCGGUUGGGGAUGGACUCGCGGCUUAUCAGCUUGUUGGUUGGUUAGUGGCUUACCAAGGCUUUGACGGGUAGCCGGCCUGAGAGAGUGACCGGGCACAUUGGGACUGAGGUACGGCGCAGACUCCUACGGGAGGCAACAGUGGGGAAAAUGGCAGAAUGGGCGGAAGCGUGAUGCAGCAACGGCGCGUGCGGGAUAAAGGCCUUCGGGUUGUAAACCGCUUUCGCCGGGGACGAAGCGUGAGUGACGGUAAUGGGUAAAGAAGCACCGGCUAACUACGUG